GGCGGCAUAGCUCAGUUGGCUAGAGCAUUCGGUUCAUACCCGGAGGGUCACUGGUUCAAAUCCAGUUGCCGCUACCA
rnacentral:tRNA from 1 species